rnacentral:tRNA from 1 species
GGAUCUAGCUCAAUAGUUAGAGCACAUGUUUAGCAUGCACAAGGUCCUGGGUUCAAUCCCCAGUACUUCCA